rnacentral:rRNA from 1 species
UGCAGUCGAGCGGUAGCACAGAGAGCUUGCUCUCGGGUGACGAGCGGCGGACGGGUGAGUAAUGUCUGGGAAACUGCCUGAUGGAGGGGGAUAACUACUGGAAACGGUAGCUAAUACCGCAUAACGUCGCAAGACCAAAGUGGGGGACCUUCGGGCCUCAUGCCAUCAGAUGUGCCCAGAUGGGAUUAGCUAGUAGGUGGGGUAACGGCUCACCUAGGCGACGAUCCCUAGCUGGUCUGAGAGGAUGACCAGCCACACUGGAACUGAGACACGGUCCAGACUCCUACGGGAGGCAGCAGUGGGGAAUAUUGCACAAUGGGCGCAAGCCUGAUGCAGCCAUGCCGCGUGUGUGAAGAAGGCCUUCGGGUUGUAAAGCACUUUCAGCGGGGAGGAAGGCGUUAAGGUUAAUAACCUUGGCGAUUGACGUUACCCGCAGAAGAAGCACCGGCUAACUCCGUGCCAGCAGCCGCGGUAAUACGGAGGGUGCAAGCGUUAAUCGGAAUUACUGGGCGUAAAGCGCACGCAGGCGGUCUGUCAAGUCGGAUGUGAAAUCCCCGGGCUCAACCUGGGAACUGCAUUCGAAACUGGCAGGCUAGAGUCUUGUAGAGGGGGGUAGAAUUCCAGGUGUAGCGGUGAAAUGCGUAGAGAUCUGGAGGAAUACCGGUGGCGAAGGCGGCCCCCUGGACAAAGACUGACGCUCAGGUGCGAAAGCGUGGGGAGCAAACAGGAUUAGAUACCCUGGUAGUCCACGCCGUAAACGAUGUCGAUUUGGAGGUUGUGCCCUUGAGGCGUGGCUUCCGGAGCUAACGCGUUAAAUCGACCGCCUGGGGAGUACGGCCGCAAGGUUAAAACUCAAAUGAAUUGACGGGGGCCCGCACAAGCGGUGGAGCAUGUGGUUUAAUUCGAUGCAACGCGAAGAACCUUACCUGGUCUUGACAUCCACAGAACUUAGCAGAGAUGCUUUGGUGCCUUCGGGAACUGUGAGACAGGUGCUGCAUGGCUGUCGUCAGCUCGUGUUGUGAAAUGUUGGGUUAAGUCCCGCAACGAGCGCAACCCUUAUCCUUUGUUGCCAGCGGUCCGGCCGGGAACUCAAAGGAGACUGCCAGUGAUAAACUGGAGGAAGGUGGGGAUGACGUCAAGUCAUCAUGGCCCUUACGACCAGGGCUACACACGUGCUACAAUGGCAUAUACAAAGAGAAGCGACCUCGCGAGAGCAAGCGGACCUCAUAAAGUAUGUCGUAGUCCGGAUUGGAGUCUGCAACUCGACUCCAUGAAGUCGGAAUCGCUAGUAAUCGUAGAUCAGAAUGC